rnacentral:lncRNA from 1 species
ACGCUCACUGCAGAUGAACAGUGUGAUGAUGAGUGUGCUCAGUGUAGCUGCCCUCCAAAAUCUCUGACUGGCUAUACAGUUUAAAAUCCACUAUAGCAUGAGGUGUUUUCCCUCACAUUGCUGCCUCUGAUGCAGGAGAUGCCGAGCCUUUUACACCAGUGGGUCCUGAGGCUAUGAAUCAAAAUAAGAAAGUGGAGUUCAUCACUUUUGCUCCCUUGGUCAAGUGGCAUUUAAAGAACCAUUCUGCAGACGCAGUGGAAAAUUACAGAAGCAGAAUUUUUGUUGGCCACUUCAUCCUUUUCAGCUC